UUGAACCCACCGGAGGGGGAAAGAAGAAAGAUCGAAAUCGUCGGAGAGGAUGACGUUUCUAUGCAAAGUUUCUAGCAAGUCAGGGCGGCGCAGCCUCGGAAGAGAGGUACGCGAUGCAAAGCAACGAAACGGAACAGCAGAUCUUAUAGCUCCGUUACAACCGGCUAGCUGACCGAUCCCAACGAGUACGACCGGUGGUACCACACCCGCUCGAGUAUUUCGAGCGGAAUGAUGGAGAGAUAAGCGAACUCGCUAGCUCGCUCGCUCGCUCGCUCGUUCGUUCGUUCCUUCGUCCGUGAGACGUUCUACUGUGGUAACGAGCCUCGGAGUCGCAUUCGUAGACGACGCGCCCUCGAGCCAGAUGCCUGUUCUCGCACCGCGAUUCGGCGCGACGACACGCGCCGGUCCGAUAUUUAGCCCGGCAGCCGCGGCAGGUGGUGAUUUUCUGGCCGGCCGGCCGGCCAGCCAGCGCGCGACCCGAUAAACGGAUCGCUCGCAGUUAAAAGCGCGCAAUUUCACACACGAAGCCAGAUUUUCCAGGGGAAUUUGAUGAGGAAAAGAAGUGGAGCUCUUCAAUCACAGAAACGGAUGCUUUCUCUUGGAAAUUUUCACAGUAUCGAAGAAAGAGAGAUGUUUUAAUCAAAUCGAUAGAGACAGGGAUGUGACGUUUUCAAUAGGGAGAAGAUGAUUUUUCAAAAAUGAGAGAGCUUCAAUAGAUUUAUUUAUAAGAUUCUUUCAAAUUAACAAAUGUUUUGUUAAAUUUUUAUCAAUAUAAUGGAAAUAUCAGGAAUUUGUUAAAAACCCCAAUAGGAUUAUUACAUUAUUAAUUAUAUAAUUUAUAGAAACGUACAUAGACACAAGGAAAGAGAAUGUGCAAUAAUGAAUGUAUGAUAAUGUUCUUAUUUUGAACUGGUGAAAUAAAAAAUAUGCUGCUAAUAUAAAUAAAUAACAGUUGAUCCAUUUGCUACAGUUAUACAGCUUUGUAUAUAUAAUAAUAAAAAAUUAGCAGACAAUCCUAAUAAAAUAUUUAAUACCUAAAAA